rnacentral:rRNA from 1 species
GAAUAUGAUCAUACCAUCCUGGAUGUGCCUGAUCUUGUCUGAUCCCAUAAGCUAAGCAAGGUUGAGGCUGGUUAGGAUUUGAAUGGGGGAAAAAAAAAAAGCAGAAAAAAGUGGCAUGGCUCUGCCCAUUCC